rnacentral:lncRNA from 1 species
AACAAACAAAGCUUCAUAAACAAAACCAUGCUCUUGACUGAAUUUUCAGUCGAUGUAAACCAUGCUUCACACCGAGAUAGCCGUCCAUAUUGUCUCAUUUCCAACAAAAAAACAAACAUCAGUGUUAAAAAUAACGCCACUCACACCCAUACCUAUCCCCAAACAAGGCCCUCAUUAUUUAUUGCCAUGGAUCAGCAAACUGAAAAACUUCCCACCAAAAUCUCUCUCUCUCUCUCUCUCUCUCUCU